rnacentral:rRNA from 1 species
CAGUCGCCGCGGUAAUACGGAGGGUGCAAGCGUUAAUCGGAAUUACUGGGCGUAAAGCGCACGCAGGCGGUCUGUCAAGUCAGAUGUGAAAUCCCCGGGCUUAACCUGGGAACUGCAUUUGAAACUGGCAGGCUAGAGUCUUGUAGAGGGGGGUAGAAUUCCAGGUGUAGCGGUGAAAUGCGUAGAGAUCUGGAGGAAUACCGGUGGCGAAGGCGGCCCCCUGGACAAAGACUGACGCUCAGGUGCGAAAGCGUGGGGAGCAAACAGGAUUAGAUACCCCAGUAGUCCCUGUCUCUUAUAA